rnacentral:rRNA from 1 species
UUGAAAGGGAAACGAUUGAAGUCAGUCGUACCUGUGGGUAAUCAGCCUUUUGGGUGUGAUUUUGUGGAGUGUGAGGAGUUAAACGCCCUCAUGCCUGCAUAUUCGUGCACUUUGGGUGUAUUUACCCGUGUGGUAAGUUAACAUCAAUUUCGGUGAUCAUAAAAUGGCUGGAGGAAUGUAGCUUCGAUCUUGUAUUGAAGUGUUAUAGCCUUCGGUAGAUGUGAUGAUCGGGAUUGAGGAUUGCAACGGAUACCCUUCGGGGCUACCUGUCUGAUCUCUGAUCGUUGCUCUGGUGCCGAAAGCUUGCUUACGGUUAUCAAAGUCGAUGGUCAAUAGGUUAGAAUGGGUUAAAUUCGUUAAGGAUGUUGACGUA